CGGGUGAUUGCGAGCUUAUGCUUGAGGAAAGUCCGAGCAUCAUAGAGCAGGAUGCUAGUUAACGACUAGUGGAGGCGACUCCAAGGAAAGUGCAACAGAAAAUAUACAGCACAUUUGUGCAAUAGGUGAAAUAGUAGGGUAAGAGCCUACUAAUUGCAUAGGUGACUAUGCAGUUGUGUAAACCCCAUUCGAUGCAAGGUAGAAAGGCGUUAAUGUUGCUCGCUAGCCUUUCGUUACACCGCUUGAAACCAUUGGCGACAGUGGUACUAGAUAGAUAAUCACCAAAUACAGAACUCGGCUUAUGAAU
rnacentral:RNase_P_RNA from 1 species